rnacentral:rRNA from 1 species
UACGUAGGGGGCAAGCGUUGUCCGGAUUCAUUGGGCGUAAAGAGCGUGUAGGCGGCCAGGUAGGUCGGUUGUGAAAACUGGAGGCUCAACCUUCAGAGGUCGACCGAAACCAUCUGGCUAGAGUCCGGGAGAGGAGAGUGGGAUUCCUGGUGUAGCGGUGAAAUGCGCAGAUAUCAGGAAGAACACCCGUGGCGAAAGCGGCUCUCUGGAACGGUACUGACGCUGAGACGCGAAAAGCGUGGGGAGCAAACAGG